GCCCUUGUGGAUGAGAUGGUACAUCACCCACUCCGGGUUUGGACGUGGUCUACGUGUGUCGAAGUGGAAGGCGGGGGUUCGAAUCCUCCCGAUGGCA